UACGAAGGGGGCUAGCGUUGUUCGGAAUUACUGGGCGUAAAGCGCGCGCAGGCGGUCUUCCAAGUCAGUGGUGAAAGCCCGGAGCUCAACUCCGGAACUGCCAUUGAAACUGUAAGACUUGAGGAUGAGAGAGGUGAGUGGAAUUCCCAGUGUAGAGGUGAAAUUCGUAGAUAUUGGGAAGAACACCGGUGGCGAAGGCGGCUUCCUGGCCUGUUCUUGACGCUGAGGCGCGAAAGCUAGGGGAGCAAACGGG
rnacentral:rRNA from 1 species